UCAGGAUGAACGCUGGCGGCGUGCUUAACACAUGCAAGUCGAACGAAGAUGCCAGAGUGCUUGCACUUUGGCAGACUGAGUGGCGGACGGGUGAGUAACGCGUGGAUAAACCUGCCUCACACAGGGGGAUAACAGUUAGAAAUGACUGCUAAUACCGCAUAAGCGCACGGUACCGCAUGGUACAGUGUGAAAAACUCCGGUGGUGUGAGAUGGACCCGCGUCUGAUUAGCUAGUUGGCAGGGCAACGGCCUACCAAGGCGACGAUCAGUAGCCGACCUGAGAGGGUGACCGGCCACAUUGGGACUGAGACACGGCCCAAACUCCUACGGGAGGCAGCAGUGGGGAAUAUUGCACAAUGGGGGAAACCCUGAUGCAGCGACGCCGCGUGAGCGAAGAAGUAUUUCGGUAUGUAAAGCUCUAUCAGCAGGGAAGAAGAAAUGACGGUACCUGACUAAGAAGCACCGGCUAAAUACGUG
rnacentral:rRNA from 1 species